UGAAAAGAUAUAAUGGAUGCAUCAGAUGUGGCUUUGGUUGUAAUUGGACCUGGUAGUAUUGAUCAGGCAAGAGCAUUUACUAAGCAAACAAAAUUCAAAGGAGAAGUUUAUGUCGACCUGACCCACUUGUUGUAUGAGGCUUUACA